UCCUCGUUAGUAUAGUGGUGAGUAUCCCCGCCUGUCUACGCGGGAGACCGGGGUUCGAUUCCCCGACGGGGAG
rnacentral:tRNA from 1 species